UUAAUUGAAAAACAAAAGAGAACAAAGACAAAGGAACGUAAUGUGUGUUUUAUUUGUUUCUUUUGUUUUGGCUCUUUUCGUGCUUCCGUUCGCUUCUCUCU
rnacentral:ribozyme from 1 species